CGGACUGGCUGAAGUGGCGUGGAGGAUACUGUGCUCCGGAUGCCUUUUAGCAGGCCUGGGAGCUUGUGCCAUGCUCUUGAAGAAGAGCCUGGGGCGCAGUGGAAAGGCGAUGGGGCUUUGCUCAGAAUCGGUGGCAGAUCAGAAAAACACAUUUUUCGUGGGUCUCGAAGGAGCCGUCCCUACCAGGCGGAGGAGUCUCCCUGGCACGGGCCCUUACAGACAGCCUGCUGCUCUGUGUUCUCCAGGAGUCCCUCUCCCACCCCACCCUGCCCCACGUAGAGGCUCUCCUGGCCAGGCUCAAGAGGGUGUCCCGGACCCUUCAGGGGGCUGAAGGUCUCCCAGCGGCCGGGUCGGACUGUGAGGCCCUCGCGCUGGUGGAGAGAGUGAAGGCCCUCAACACAUACCUGCAUCAGAGGACAAGGACGCUUGGCGGUCUGGUACGGGCGCAGGGGGAGUUUGAGGCGGACGUGGAGGGCCUGCUGGGGGGUCUGGAGCUCCUCUGGACCCAGCUGGAGGAGCUCCACACCAGGGUCACGCUCACCAAGGACUGGAGCCAGGGCCAGGGGGAUCUGGCCAGCACCAAGGCUGAGGCAGAGUUUGUGUCCAGGAUGGUGGGUCAGUACCGGACCAGACUUCAGCUCUGUCAGAACCACCAGAGGGAAACCACUGAGUUGCUGCAGUAUAUAACCAGGGUCAGAUGAACAUAUUGAGUCAAGAUAAGAUUACUCUAUUAAUCCCUGAAGGGAAAUUCCAGCAGGAGGCCUUCAAAUAAGAAGGGCAUUCAAGAGCUGACCUGGACUCACAUAACCAUGAGCGCUCACGUUAGCGACAGCUGCAGCAACGAGUCAGUCUGGACGGAGCUGUUACUACAGUCCAACAUCGAGCAGUUUGACAAGGUCCAGGAGAACUUCCUGUCUGUGGACCAGCAGACCUCUACCUUCCAGGCCCACCUGGACGGGCUGGAACGGGGGGCUCCUGACGGACAAGCCACUGGUCCCCCAACCUGUUCCUCCUCCUCCUCUUCCUCCUCCAGUGCUGCCGGUCGGAUUGGCCCCCGCCACGUUGAGCCCGCCCCUGCCUCCGACACUGUCUCCUCAUUGGACGAAUCCAACCAGGCUUUCCCCUCCUUGGGCGAGGAUAUCGCCCAAACCCUCUGCGAGAGGUCGGCCCUUCAGUUCUCCUCCGCCUUUGGACGCCUUCGGAAAUCUGGAAAGAAGAAAUGAUUCUUAUUUUAUGUUAUUUAAAAAUGUUGCUCUACGGCUUGCGUCAGAGUUACUUAUAUGCGUGUAGCAUUUUCAAGUGUUGAUCGUUUGACUUUUGCUGUUUACUUGUAUUGCAUGUAUUUAUUUGUAACUUUUCAAAGUUUUAUUUUAAUGCAUGAUUGUUAUGAUGCGUCGUCUUCGAAUUAUUAAUUAUUAAUGAAUCACUUUGCAAAACAAAUUAUGUUGUACCGCUGCUUAUCUUUUAGCCUGGUUUAUUACAAAUCGGAUGCCCUCAGAGAAUGAAUGAUUAAACUGUCAGACACAAGGGGGCGUCACACCACCAGGGAUCCGUGCAGUCACCUGCUCAACCAUCACCAUAAAGACAACACGUCUCAUUCAAUACAUCCAGACGCUUCUCUUCAUUUAGUUUCAUGAGGAGAUAGCCAGGUUGUCUGUUCUGUCUGGCUGUUCACCAUAUGGUCUAUAAACACAUUCCUGCACAUGAUUUAACCAUUUUCUGCCAAAGCCCUUUUCUUCCUUUAACUAUUUUCCAAGUUUUAUUGAGGGUCAUCUCAUAUUUUUCUGGUAUGAGACUAAUUCAAUGAGAAAUGUUUUCUAAACUUGAAGCGCAUGAUGAAAAGUGUAUAUGCAAUUCCCCCCCCUCCUCCCCCCCAGUCUUUCAUUUGCUGCUCGCUUUGAACCCUUAUCCAGUGUGACAGAGCUACUUUAGCAGUUAGCUGCAAGCUAAAUGGAUUCCUAUAUGUCCAUGAUUUUAAUAAAAAGGCCCCAACGUCCGAAAGCCUGGAGGGGGAAAAACAUAGAAGUUUUAAGCAAUACCAGACAUUUCCUCGCCCCCCUCCUCCCCUUCCCCAGUCCUGUCUCCCUUUAUCAGAGGCAGUGGACGACAUGAUUUGAGAGCUUCAAAGCAGGGAUUUAAGGUUGGAG
ensembl:lncRNA